UCCCUGUUACCAGGGCAGUCUAGCUAGAGAAAUUCAACUAGCUAUAAGGGUUGCGCUCGUUAAUGGACUUAACCAUACAUCUCACGACACGAGCUGACGACGGCCAUGCAACACCUGUCACUGCGGCCCGAAGGUACUCUCUCCUUUCGGAAAGAUUAGCAGGAUGUCAAGCCUUGGUAAGGUUCUACGCUUAGUAUCGAAUUAAACAACACACUCCACCGCUUGUGCGAGACCCCGUCAAUUCCUUUAUGUUUUAGCCUUGCGGCCGUACUCCACAGGCGGGAUGCUUAACGCGUUAGCUUCGCUACUACCAGGGUCGAUACUGAUAACAGCUAGCAUCCAUAGUUUACGGCGUGGACUAC
rnacentral:misc_RNA from 1 species